GCUUGCCGUGCUGGGGUUAGAGUUCUUGAAACAGUGCUAGGAAAACGUGGUGCUAGAUUCCCCCAGGGUCGGCUCCAGCCCACAUCCGUUCACAGCUACCCUGGCAUUCGCUGCCUUCUCCCGAUCUCUCCUAGAACGUCCCAGGCGCGUUCCUGGCGGCAUUGCGCUCUCGCCCUGCCUUCUCCAUGUUUCUCUAGCGCUCUCCCUCCUCACCCGGGGUUUGGAACUAGAGGUGACAGGGGAAGUGGCAUGCGUUAUUUCCGGGCGCUGGCCUACGUCCCCCAACCCCUCCGGUGAGGGUGGAGGAGGUUACGUCGGGUCUGCUCCUCGACGUCCCUGGGGCUGCGGACGCGGGAAGACGGGGUCUCUCCGGCGCACGCCGUUCGCCCUACGCCCCAGUGCUUUGAGCCUUAGGGUGAACGCAGGCGCCGCUGUGCUCACGGACCGUCCGGCCACCAGGGGGCGCCCACCCGGCGCGGGGCUGGGCUGCUUUCUUCCCCUGGACUCGACGAGGGCAGGCGGGAUUGCCUUCCAGAGUGUACCUCCGGCCGGCUGGUUCACAGUGAAUAAAAACACAUUUAUAAUCCUUUAAGCUUCAAGAACCUGUGAUACGUGACUGGAUGGAAUUCCUGGAGAACUGUAUUAACAUGUUUCACAGAGUUGAAUUCUGAGAGGAGGAAUCCCUUGUGUCUGCUUGGAUUCUGCAUGUACUACAGCUCUGAAUUGGUGGCUGCCAGGAAAAUGGAAGGAGAUCGACAGACUUCAACUUUGCAUCUGUUUGUAUGAGGAAUAAAGAAGCACUGAAGCAGAGCGGCUGGCUCUGUUGCACAAGUGCACCUAGCAGAUCAGCAGACUUGAACAGAAACAUUGGUACUUCCUGGAUUCCAGCCUGCCAACCUUUGUACCAGAACUAUACUAUUGGUUCUCUUGGGUUUCCAACUGACUGACUACAGAUCUUGGGACUUGUCAGCCUGCAUAAUCAUGAAGAGAAAAAGAAAAAGAGGUGGCUUGUUGUUUUUGCUGUUUUAGUCUUAAUUUUCUUAAGAAAUGUGAGAGGGUGGGAAGGCGAAGUUAAACUACGUUGGGGACGUAUCAGCACAUGGGUGGAUCUACCUCCUCGCUUGCACGUUUCUGAAGCAAUUCAAGUAUGAAUACAGGAAGAGAAUCAGGAAACAGAACACGCUGACAUUCCCUCUUCUAUUAACCGUAUGGUUAAAUAUGUACUUUUAGUGGAAUUCACUAACUCUACACAGUUUAGUCUACCCUCAGCGGGCAAUUAGCCAUGUUAUAAGCAGUGAACCUGAGACGGAGACCAAACGAUCAUCGGUUUGUUAGUACAGGACUAACGUUUGCCUGUUUCUAGUACACAGGACUUAAGUUUAUCUAAAAUUAUAGACAAGCCUUUCCUAUCAACCAAAUAACCCUCUGUGGGGUUUACAAACAAUUGCAAUUUGGAGUCCCAUUUAACUUGUUCAUGAAGACAAACAGGAAGGGAAAGAAGUGAAAUUCUUAAGACUCUGCAAUGUAAACAGUUGACCAAUGAAGGGACACAGGGCAUUCUAGCCAGGAUCUCCCUGGCCCUCAUACUCUUUCACUCUGUUAUUUUCCUAGAAUUAAACCAGAGUGAAAUUAAUCCAGUUAGCAGGAAUUUAUCUUGUUUCAAGAUUAUUUAAAACAAGGAUGGAAAACUAUACAAAAUGUUUUCCUCGUGGAAAGGCAUUAAACUGAAAAUAUCCAAGUCUCAGCCCCACUUCAACUAUUGGUAAGAACCUUUGAUGGAGGGGUUCGUGGUGGAGAAUUUCAACUGAAAAUAGUGAGACCUAUUCAUUGCAGCUACAGUGCACCUGGAUGAACUUCUCAAGUAACUCCUUCUAACUUAGACUCUCUAAAAGCUAAUAGCUAAGGUAUAGGGUAAGCUACUAUAAAAACAAAACCUCCAACUACAAUGGAUUCGUAAAUGUAGGAAUUUAUUUCUCACUCACAUCAUAAUGCAAAGGUAGGGGAGCAUUUAGAGCAAGAAAUUGGCCCUUUAAGUCUCAUCCAUAGCUACACCUUGUGGGUUCAAGGUGGCUAUUAUAAUUUUCAUUGUCUUCAGCUAGCAGAAGGGAUGAAGGGACCUUAUGACAGCUGUUUUACAGGAAAUAUUUGGGAACUUAAUAUACAUUAUACCCUUAUCCUUUGCUGAAAGAUCACCCCUAGCUUUCAGGGAUAUUGCAAAAUAUGUUCUUUGGGCGAGCAGCCAUGUGCUCAGCUUCAAGAUUGGGGAAGGUGAGAAGAAUGGCCCAGAGGUCAUUCAGUUUUCUGCCGUAGUGCCUCAUAAAGUCACUGUGAAGUUUAAAUAAGUUCAUAUAUAUAUAUAAAAAUGCUAAAUUAUCUGCAAAUGAGUUAACACUCAGAAAAUAGAGCGGCAAAUUAUGCACAGAUUCCCAGUUACAUGUCAUUUCAUUUCCAAAAGCAUUUGCUUUAUUCCUUUGAGAGGACAACAGAAGUUUUCUCUAGAGAAAUCAUAAACACAAUGUAGCCCUAUAUCUAAUCCAGGAUUACAUUUGAAAAAAAUCCCCAUAGGCAGGUCAUGAGAGUUUUUAAUUUAAAAAAAACAUUUGUGUUUGUGAAGCAAUAUUUUUUUUAAAAAUUUGUCAUAAAGUUCUGAUUUUAAUGAUUUUAGUGGCCUUAAAUUUUCUUUUUAGGCAAUGGCAGUGUAAGAGUGGAGAAGGUUGUUAGAGAGCCUCCUCACUGUGGCUUGAUGUGAUAAAUAAUUUGCUCAUAGCAUGCGUGCCCGCUUAUUUCACCUCCAGCUUACUUUUGGGGCGACUUUGUUAUCAGCAGUAAUAUAUCCUGAUCAUUUUAAGUCUGUAAGGAAAUGGAUGAUAGUCUCUUUUCAAAAAAGAUUGAAUGGCCCUUCUUAGACGGUUCUAAGUACUGCAGCAGCUUCUUAAAAUUCUUCUGUCAUAAUUAUCUAUAUAAAUGUGAAUCUUUUGUAUCCAUUCCUUCACUUUUUAUUCUCAUUUGUUUUACAAGUGCUUGGCAUAUUGUUUUCAAAGAAGGCUACAGUUCCUCCCACCCCACUAGCCCCUUAGUGAUGUAACUUUAUCACUCUUACUAUCAAGAGAUGAAAUCUCUUUCCCUUCCUCUUGAACUGUGCCGCCGGUCCUGUGACCAGCUAUGACCAAUGGCGUGCAACAGAUGUGACACUGUGUGAUUUCUGGCUCUAAGUCUUAAGAAGUCUUGAAGUUUCCAUUUUCACCCUUGGAAGGAUGUUCAGCCUAGACUACCAACUGAUAAAAGCAGACUAAAACUACCAAGUGCAGACAAAGGUCAUCUGGAGGACAACUUCCAGCAUGAGCACCCAAAGUAUGUGAGUGUGCCAUCUUGGAUUCUUCAGCCUCAGUCAGGUCCCCCCAGCCAACACUGUACAGAGCAAGGGCCAAGAUUUCUCCUGUGAGUCUUGCUCAAAUUCCUGACCCACAGAGUGGUGAGCAGUACAAUGGCUGCUGAUUUCAGCCACUGAGUUUCAGAGCAGAUUGUUACACAGCAAAAGAUUACUGAAAUUGUCUUUUCUUCUUCUUGACAUUACACUGUUUUCCAGAACAGGAACCAUGUUCAGUGAGUUUCUUGAUGUCUCUUCACAAGGCAAUGUAUUGGCUGCACAAUAGCUAUAACUGAGUGAAUUAAUUCCACAUCAUAUGUCUGGAGAAACUUUCUCAAGAUUCAGGUGAUAAAGUUCAGUGACUGUUAGUGUGUUUUGGAAAAGCAUCUUUGUUAUAAUUUGAUAUUUUAAUGCAUGACCUUACAUAAGUCAGUGGAUUGCUUGAGGCCUGGGUGCUAUUAAUCAAGGUCUCUGAGCACCAUCACCUUGAAAUUUCGUGAAACCACAAUCCUGUGAACAGCCCCAGCUAGAGCCACUAAUAAAAUAGAGAAUAAAAAUAGGUAGAUAUACAGCAAUGGAUGGAAGGUUGUAAAUUUACCCAUGCUGAGUUUCAAGGCAGUUGAAUUUAUUUGUUCUGAAUUGUGUAUCUUGGCUUUCUAUUUUAGAGUAAAAUAAAUAAUAUCAAAUAAAGCAAAGCUGAA